UAUGUGAUCGUCUCUCGCAUAUCAAUAAGCGGAGGAAAAGAAACUAACAAGGAUUCCCCUAGUAACGGCGAGUGAAGCGGGAAGAGCUCAAAUUUGAAAUCUUAAAGGGUUUCCCUUUACGAAUUGUAGUUUAAAGAAGUGUUUUCUGUUGAGGUUUUGGUAAAAGUUCUUUGGAAUAGGACAUCAUAGAGGGUGAGAAUCCCGUAUUUGACCUUUACUUUCAACUUUGUGAUACACUUUCAAAGAGUCGGAUUGUUUGGGAAUGCAGUCCAAAAUGGGUGGUAAAUUUCAUCUAAAGCUAAAUAUUGGCGAGAGACCGAUAGCGAACAAGUACCGUGAGGGAAAGAUGAAAAGAACUUUGAAAAGAGAGUUAAACAGUACGUGAAAUUGUCAAAAGGGAAGCGUUUGACACCAGUGUUGUUUUUCUGAAAAUCAAUUAAAGAACUGUUUAUGCUAAGUUGUUUAGACUUUAUCAGCUAUCUGUUUAGUUUUGAGCUUUUCUUUAAUGCACUUUUCAGUUAACAAGUCAACAUCAAUUUCUUUUGCUGUAAAAAAGCUUGAGGAAGGUGGCUUGAGAUUCGUCUUAAGUGUUUAUAGCCUCUUGCCUAUGCAGUCGGAGAGAUUGAGGUCUGCAGCGUAGAUCCUUCGGGGCUAAAUGCAUUUGUGCUAAGUUAUAACAUUUUAUAGACAACUUGUUGACUAUGAUUUGUCUUGUAGCUUACUCGCUUAUGUUAUUUUACCUACGCUUAGGAUGUUGACACACGCGCGUGCUCG
rnacentral:rRNA from 1 species